GUCUCCUACGGGGCGCAGCAGUGAGGAAUAUUGGUCAAUGGGCGCGAGCCUGAACGAGCGAUGCCACGUGAGUGAAGAAGGCCUUCGGGUCGUAAAGCUCUGUUGCGGGGGAAAAAAGGCAGCAUCAGGAAAUGGGUGCUGACUGAUGGUGCCCCGCCAGAAAGUCACGGCUAACUACGUGCCAGCAGCCGCGGUAAUACGUAGGUGGCGAGCGUUAUCCGGAAUGAUUGGGCGUAAAGGGUGCGCAGGCGGUCCUGCAAGUCUGGAGUGAAACGCAUGAGCUCAACU
rnacentral:rRNA from 1 species